CCCGCUCCUUGCACACACCGCCUGCCAACUCAUCCAAGUGAGGAUUUAGUGAGGCUGAGUUAAAUGCUCAUUCGAACUAAGUUUUUAUGAGGAGGGGUAAGGCAUAACAAGGUAUCCGUAGGGGAACCUGCGGAUAGAUCACCUCAU
rnacentral:rRNA from 1 species